CUUAAGCAUAUUACUAAGCGGAGGAAAAGAAACCAACGGGGAUUCCCAUAGUAACUGCGAGUGAAAGGGGAACAGCCCAGCGCCGAAUCCUGCUGCUGGCAACGGUGGCAGGAACUGUGGCGUGAAGAAGGUGGUUACCGGUGUGGCUUGCUCGCGUAAGUUCUCCUGAGUGAGGCUCCAUCCCAUGGAGGGUGCAAGGCCCGUAUCGUGAGCAGUUGAUGCCGGUGUACACUUUCGGAGAGUCGCCUUGUUUGUGAGUACAAGGUGAAGUCGGUGGUAAACUCCAUCGAAGGCUAAAUAUGACCACGAGUCCGAUAGCGAACAAGUACCGUGAGGGAAAAUUGAAAAGCACUUUGAAGAGAGAGCGAAACAGUGCGUGAAACCGCUCAGAGGCAAGCAGAUGGGGCCUCGAAGGCAAAGCAGUGAAUUCAGCCGGUAUGGUGCGUGGCUGGUUGGUGUUGAGAUCGCAAGACUCUAGCUGAUUAUGCUUAGCGUAUCUGCCGGUGCACUUUCGCUGUUUGUACGUCACCGCCGUUGAGCGAGCAUCCGUCGGGUAUGCGUGUGAAGCCUUAUUCCUUCGGGCGUAGGUGCUUACUGCUAACUUGUACGCGUUUGCGCUUCAACCGGUCAUGUCAGCGUGUGCCAGCGUUAGCGUUGGGUCGGUAUGCUCUGUGGUGCGUUGUGGGAUGACGAGCUUGCUCGGCUCCUCAUCGUGCAAUAGACUCGUUGCCGGCUUUCAACGUGGGCACAUUGUAGAUUCGGUGGCGAGUAG
rnacentral:rRNA from 1 species